GAUGAACGCUGGCGGCGUGCCUAAUACAUGCAAGUCGAGCGAACGGACGAGAAGCUUGCUUCUCUGAUGUUAGCGGCGGACGGGUGAGUAACACGUGGAUAACCUACCUAUAAGACUGGGAUAACUUCGGGAAACCGGAGCUAAUACCGGAUAAUAUUUUGAACCGCAUGGUUCAAAAGUGAAAGACGGUCUUGCUGUCACGUAUAGAUGGAUCCGCGCUGCAUUAGCUAGUUGGUAAGGUAACGGCUUACCAAGGCAACGAUGCAUAGCCGACCUGAGAGGGUGAUCGGCCACACUGGAACUGAGACACGGUCCAGACUCCUACGGGAGGCAGCAGUAGGGAAUCUUCCGCAAUGGGCGAAAGCCUGACGGAGCAACGCCGCGUGAGUGAUGAAGGUCUUCGGAUCGUAAAACUCUGUUAUUAGGGAAGAACAUAUGUGUAAGUAACUGUGCACAUCUUGACGGUACCUAAUCAGAAAGCCACGGCUAACUACGUG
rnacentral:rRNA from 1 species